rnacentral:lncRNA from 1 species
AAAACCAAAGAUUUUUCCUGGUACCUAAAAAAACCCCCUAAAAACCAAAGAUUUAAUCAGCCCAACGAAAUUUAAAGUGAUGUAGCUUAUUUAGAGAAAUCAUGGUACACAGUACAAUUUUAUAUUGACCACUACAACCACUAAUAUUUCACACAUGUGACUUAUCUUAAAGGAAAAAAAUGCUUCAUGUAUGAAUUUUCUGUAGAUAUCCUUAACAAUUACAUUCUUUCUCCUGACUUUUCUGUUCAUUCCCCUUGAAGAAGCCAGUAUCAAUUUUAAUUACUCUCCUACGUGGUCUUUUAAUGAGGAGGAAGUGUUUCAUAUUUGCUGCCAUUUAUGUCCUCAGUAGUAUGUUGUAAUGCUUGAAGUUGAGAGAUGGUGACCCUGGGUCCUGAGCUGAUUCCUUAUGCCUGUGAGGUCAUAAUAGUUUUAAAGAGAAAUAAAGCAGCACCUCUUUAUUUUGGUCCUUCCAUUUUAUUUGAUCUCUUCUCCUUUUCUCUUCCACUUAUGAUAACUGAAUGGUAGAGCAGAAUGUUCACCAGACUUUGUACCAGAGAACAGGUCUCUACUCUUGGUAACACUGAGCAAAGUACUUAGCCUCUCUACCUAUCAGUCUACUGCUUUAUGAGGAUGAACUCGGAUGUACCAUUAAAAUAAAUGGAUGACCUAAGGAAAUUACUGGAGUUGAGAAAUAAGCAAGUGAGGGAACUGAGAAGAAAUGUCACACUGAAGCCUCUUCACAACUUAAGGACAACUAUGCAUCCAGACACCUGCAAUGUGACACCAGCACAGGACACAGAACCAGGCAUCUCCAAGCCAAAUCAAAUUGACCCUCAACCAUCACAGCCUGUUUUUCAUUAAUGCAACCAGCAACUUACCAAGGCUCAACAAACUGAGAGAAAGCCUGGACUUCUUCUCUCCACUUCAUGUUUCCAUAGAACCUUCAAAUAAAAG